GCGGUUAUUAAUCUAGCCGAGCCAACGCUAACACACAUGAAACGGCCAAGAAAACGCGCCAGAAUACACCUGUUGGGGGAAUUUUGAGGGGAAACGCAACAUCUCUGGUCAAUAAUGUGCUGACGGUGUGCGUGUCUGUUGUAGAUUCAUUGGAAAUCGCCGGUGUGUGGGUGCUGUCCUACCUGAUGCGGCCGCUGUGUCACUACCCCGGCUCGGACUAGCCUCGCUGCACUGGCCCCUCCGGAGUGAAUGGAGUGUGAACACCUGAUGCCGUCAACAUUUCCUGGGGGUGUGACACUAACCGGAGGCUCUGCUCUGUCUGGAGAUCAGUUAGAUGUUAAUCUGAGCUGAAGAACUGAUUUACCUGAAACUGCAACAGGUGAGCACAUUUCUUAUCAUUUUGAAUUUAUUUUUUCAGCUUUAAAAUGUCGUAUGUUAAAUAUUUAGCAGAUUAUGUCAACAAUCUCUGGGUGUAUGACGGGAACUGAAGGCUCUGCUCUGUCUAAAGCUCAGUACGACUUUACUCAGAGCUGAAACUGCAACAGACAAUCUUGAACGAGUUUGCCAACAUGUGCAUUGUAUCACCCUGGUAACUCCUAAACUUUCCACCAUUAGAGAUACAUGUAGAACACCCCCAGCAUGAUGUAACUGCAAAGUAUCAGUAUGGGCAGUUUGUUGUUGUGAUCUGCAUUUUAAGCAUUGAAUUGUACCACAAACAUGUACCAGACCUCCAUCGAUUUUAGAAACUAACAAAAACGCAAGAUUCUCCAUAUGCGGACCAUUUACAGUACAGCCCCAUCGAAACCAUAUCUAAUACAAAACAUUUACAAGACGCUUUAUUUACAUUUGUACAAAUAUAGAAAUAAAUAAAUCAAAUGAGAACUGUUGGCAAUUUGUUAGAAGAGAACUGUAACUGUAUGUUAAAAAAUGUUGAAAUGUCAAUGGACCUAAUAUAUCAAAUGUCAUGUAUUGCACCAAAAGUAUGAAACCUUUACUUUUUUAAGUAAAUCAAAUGUAUUCUAGCAUUGUCUUUCUGAAAUAAUUGAAUAAAACGGAGA